rnacentral:lncRNA from 1 species
CGCGGGCUAGCUGCGCGCGCACGCCACGUCGACCCCGUGCACGCGCCUGCGCCAUCCCGCGCUCGCGACCCAACCGCCGCCGGUGCCCACGACUCCCCGCCCGCGCCAACCGCCGCCAACUCGCCACGCGCCCCUGCCCCUAUAAAAUCCGCCCGCGCCCCCUCUCCCGAACGCCCCGCACGCCCUCGCUCUCCCCUGCCCGAGCGCCGCUCCCCGCGCCCAAAACCGUCGCCGCCGCCCAACUCCAGCGAGAAAUCGCCGGAGAACCGUCGCCUUAUCCGCGAAACCGCCGCCACCUGCUCGAUCCCCACGCCGCCGCAAAGCUCCGAUGCCCCCGCAGCGAGGCCAAAGACCGCCGGACAGACCUCGCCGCUGACGACCGAAGCAACCUCGCCGGAGCCACGUCGCGCCGCCACUUGAGACCACGCCGGAGCUCGCCGUUCGCACCGUUGUACUCCCCGCGACACCGGAAAUCUCCCCCAACCCUCCUUCUUCCUUCCCGAGUCCCGAUUCGUCGAUCCAUUCAUCUCCGGAAAGAUUUGGGUAUGAACAUGUUCAUCUCCCGUGCUUUUAGCUCUGUUCAAGCAUCGAUUGUUAGCAACCCUCUGAUCAUUAUGUGCUCUAGUUAUCACCAUGGUGUAGAGUGUAUGUUCCUCUACAAUUUCUCUGUAGACAGUAGCCGUAGAUGGUUCAUCUCGUGCAUUGCAUCGUCGUCGCAAAAUGGUAUUCUUAGCAGCUUUUCUGCCGUAUCUCUGCCGCGGCAGGAAAUUGUAGCACCAUCCUUAAUGAGUAGCCACAUUCAUCUGUUCAUAGCUACUGCCUCAUAUCUCCAUAGUUCAUGAAACCAGUGCCAUUUGGAAGAGUAGAUCAUAUUCGUGGAUUCGUAUGUUUAGUUCUCUGUCAUUGGAAUAGUUUAGCACCAGUAGAUUUUCAGUAGAAGUUAGUUUUCUUUGUCUGUCAGAAUCUGACUAGCCACCUUUGCAAGCCAGUAACUUUCGAUCUGUUUAUCCAACUGACCUGAAACCUAUUGCGUUAGUUAGUACAACCUUAGUACUGUACUGUGGCAUAUAUUUCAUGCCAUGUACUAUACUUUAGCACCUUUUACCUGUCAACCCUAGUUGCAACCUGUUAACAGUAGCAGAUUACUGAAUCUUCAGACUUAGCCACACUAGCCUUAACCUAGACUUUAGAACUUUGUUUGUUGAUACUAUAGUAUUGUUUGCAUGAAGUCGAAGUUCUGUUCUUGAAGUUUAUUUGGAGUUAUAUUUGAAUUUGGAUAUAUAUUUAGAAAUAUGCAUUUACUUUGUUUCGUUCUUCGCGUUAGAUUAUUCGGAUUGCGACUGCGACGAGUGCGAGGGAGUUGACGACCGCAACAACUUUUCUGAUCCAGACAAGUUACACUUAUUGAUCAUGUAGUACCUAUAUUUUGCUUACGCUAUGUUGUUUACAAUGUCA